CUUUGAUGAGAUCUUCGGAUGGAUUUAAAACAGCUUAGUGGCGGACGGGUGAGUAACGCGUGGGUAACCUGCCUCACACUGGGGGAUAACAGUUGGAAACGACUGCUAAUACCGCAUAAGCCCACGGUACCGCAUGGUACUGAGGGAAAAGGAUUUAUUCGCUUUAGGAUGGACUCGCGUCCAAUUAGCUAGUUGGUGAGGUAACGGCCCACCAAGGCGACGAUCAGUAGCCGACCUGAGAGGGUGACCGGCCACAUUGGGACUGAGACACGGCCCAGACUCC
rnacentral:rRNA from 1 species